GGAAGCCGGUGGGAAUCCGGCGCGGUCGCGCCACUGUGACCGGUCUGCCUGUCCGUGUGGGCGGCGGUACCGGGAGUCAGAC
rnacentral:ncRNA from 2 species